GGGGUGCUCUUGAGUCGUGACAAACUUGUUAUCAGAGCAUAAGGUUUUGAGAAUGGUCUUAGGUUGUCUCAAACCACAUCUAGUAGAGCCUUGUUCAUAAUGUGAAGCGCGCCACAUUAUGAAUAGCAUGUUAUCAGGUGCUAAGAAUGUUUCACCUCUUCAUUCUUCAAGUCGUGCCAUAGAGUUUCGCUCUAUAAUGUCUUUCCCUUGUUCCUUAUGUGAUGG
rnacentral:lncRNA from 1 species